rnacentral:tRNA from 1 species
AUCUUAUAAAUAUAAACGUAUAUUUGACUUCCAAUCAAAAAGACCAAAUCAAACUUGGAUAAGAUA